UCCGGUUUGACACCGGCAGUCUCCCUAGAGUGCCCGGCAUAACCCGCUGGUAACUAGGGACGAGGGUUGCGCUCGUUGCGGGACUUAACCCAACAUCUCACGACACGAGCUGACGACAGCCAUGCAGCACCUGUGUUACGGUUCUCUUUCGAGCACCCUCGCAUCUCUGCGAGGUUCCGUACAUGUCAAGGGUAGGUAAGGUUUUUCGCGUUGCAUCGAAUUAAUCCACAUAAUCCACCGCUUGUGCGGGUCCCCGUCAAUUCCUUUGAGUUUUAACCUUGCGGCCGUACUCCCCAGGCGGUCAACUUCACGCGUUAGCUUCGUUACUGAGUCAGUGAAGACCCAACAACCAGUUGACAUCGUUUAGGGCGUGGACUAC
rnacentral:misc_RNA from 1 species